rnacentral:tRNA from 1 species
GCCUGGAUAGCUUAGUGGCUGAGCGUCUGCUUUUGGCUCAGGUCAUGAUCCUACGAUCUUGGGAUCAAGUCCCACAUCAGGCU